UUCUUCUUAUCUCUUUCUUUCUCUCUUUCCUCUCACACUUUUCUUCUCCUCUUCUGGCGAUCUCGAUUCAACAGAAUUGAGUUUGUUUUGUACGUGGAUCUGUAAUAAGCUUAGUAAGAUGAUGGAUCGAGUGAGUAUGUGCUAUGCCGAAAUUAUUGGAGCUUCAGAAGAAGAUGAUAGAGUUGUUGCUGGAAAUUGAAGUUAGGGUUUUCUGAAGGAUGAAGUUGAUUGAGGAAUUAUAUGGAAUUGAGUAUGAAAUCAGUUAAUUGAAGAUGGGUUUUGUAUAUCGAGAACAAGAAGAAGAAUAGGGUGUUCUGUUUCGGUUCACAGGGAAGGAUUGAAGGGAUUAGGGUUCUGUAAUUCAUUGAAGAUAAGAUUAAAGUUGAUGAAGAAGAAAUUAGAGGGGUGUUCCAGAACACGUUGUAAAGAAGAUAAAGGAUUUCGUUGAUUUGAAGACUUAGCAACUGAUUCCUCAAUUACAGCGAAGAGUUGCAUGGAUUUAGGGUUUCACUGGAAUUUCGAUUAGAGAUGAAUAAUAAGAAUUAAGGAGUGGAUUUGUCGAUUGGUAAACAUGGUGAAGUUAACUGGAUGUUUAUGAAUCUGAUGAAGAACUAGGGUUUGGUUCUGCAAUGAAGAAGGGGAGAAGAGUUAGAUGAAUGUUAAGUUGAUUACAUGUGGUGGUUUUUGGAUGACUGGUGUUUGUAAUCGAUGAACUGAAUUAUUGUGGUUGAACUAGAUUGAGAUGAAGAAGUGUAGUUGUGAAAAAGAUGUUUGAUUGGAACUAGUGACAGUUAAUGUAAGUUGCAGAUUAGUGAGGUUGGUGGCCAGAGAUGGGAGUUGUCUGUGUAGGUAUGCUUGUAGGGGCUGUGAGUUGAAUUGGUGGAGAAUUGUAGUGGCUGGUUGAGUUGAAGAUUGUUUUAAUGUUGAAUUGAAUGGGUUUAGGUUCGGAUAAAUGUAUAGUUUGUUGCCGAGAGAAUGAAUAUUACAGAUUUGUUGAUAUUGUGUUAUUGCAGCUGGAAUUUAAAUGAGCUAUUCAGUGAUGAGGCUAUGAUACUGUGUGUUUAUGUUGGUGAUCCAAUGAGUUGUUGUCGAAGUUAUAUAGUAAUGAAUAACAGAGUAGUUACAAUGAAGUUGAGUUAGUAGUAUGUGAAAAGAGUGAAAGCUUGGAAACUGCAAUUGCAGGUAAUCUAUAUUUGAAUUUAAAGUGAUUCAUGAAGUUUUUAUGCAUUGAAUGUAUGAUUGUAAUGUUUCAAAUAAAGUUGUAUAAUUUGGUAGGAUUGAAAUAAGAAAAAGAAGUUGUUUAGAGUUCA